CCGCAGGUAGGGGCGUGGCCGCGGGUGGGGGCGUGGCCACAGGUGCGGACGGGCCCGGGCUGGGUCGGUCCGGCACGGGUCGGUUCCCCGGUGCCGGGGUCCCUGGAGCGAGGCCGCCGGUCCCAUGUCCGCUCCCUCCCAAGAGCCAAGACCCGCGCGCAUCGUGAUGACGACGCUGCUGCUGACGGAGCGCAUCAGCCGGCAGGACCGCGGCGCCGAGGGGGAGCUCGUCCUGUACGGCUCCUCCUGCUCCCAGCUCACCCAGGAGGCCGAAUACGUCAAAAAGGUGCCGGGGGAGGCGCCGGAGCCGCGCUGGAACCGCAGCCCCGUGGCCACGACGCUGAAGGAAACGGAGGAGCAGCUGCUGCUGGUGAGCAGGGAGAACCAAGUGCUGAAGAUCAAGCUGGAAGCCACAAGAGAAGCAGGUGUACAAGCUCUCAGAUCUGCCUCCCAAAAACUGUACGAGAAUUACCAGGCUCGCUCGGAACAGCUGAAAAAAAGCCACGAGGAUGAGAAGCAGCAAAUCCAGACCCACAAUCUCCAGCAUGAAGCAAAGCUCCAGCAAAGCUCCCAAAACAGCGCCCGCCUCGCCGAAAGCGUCAGGGACAGAUGCAGCCGCAUCGCGGAGAUGGAGACGCGCGUGCGGAGGAUGCAGGAGGAAAAGCAAAUGCUGAUAGAGAAGAAGACGUCAUUUGAAAAGACGCUUCACCAGAUGAUGGCGAGGAAUGAAGACAGCAAACGGUGCCGGGACGUCGAGCAGCAGAUUGUCACCCUGCGGGAGCAGAUCUGUCACCUGCAGCGCCUCAUCCAGGCCCAGCAGCACGGCCUGCGCGCCGUCAUCCAGGAGGCAGAGGAACUGAACAAGGAACUCAAAAGCCAAGAUAAAAGGAUAGAGGACCUGACCGAGAAGCUGACUGCACUGGAAGCACAGAAUAAGGAACUGAAAGACAGAGUGGAGUUCUGGUCUGGAAAGCCCAAGACUAUGGUUUCCAAAGGCGUUUGGACAGAUGCCCCGCGCCACUCGGGAGUGUUCGGAGCGUCCCCUUACGGGAUGCUUGCCCGGCUACGGCAGCAGGAGAGCUGAAGGAACACCUGGAUCUUUGUCCCCGACCUUUGCGAGGACUUAUCCUGCGUGUUACAACCUCCUGGGUGCAAGAAUAAACCUGGAACUAAAGCAAGAGCUGGUGAAAGAUGGUGAGCUGGCCACGCCUGGGGGUGGCGCAUCCCUGGUGCAGCACAACGGGGCUCCCCCUGCCCAGACUGAAACAGAGACUCAGUUUAACCCAACUCACCUUUAGUGCUGAAAGCUCAUGGCAAAGCCGCUGUUUCCUCCCCAAACCAGCCGAGAGACCGCACUGAAAAAUAUCCUUUUAUUCUGAAAAUACCAGUGCAGAAACCGAGGCACAGGCUACAUUCCUCAGCUGGAUGACGCGACCCCAGACACCGGUGAAGCUGGUGACAGGAGGUUUAGAAGCCACAGGUACUUGGGUACAACAAAGGGACAGGAACAAGCAUCAAAGGGCAUCUCUAAUUUAAAAAAAGAGACUAUUUGUGUUCAAGAUACAGUUUCAAUCACGCUCAGAGCACAGAUCUGUUAAGACGAACAUAAAACAUGCUCACGGGUGGCAUAACAGAAGGAAACACCAAAAAGGUCAUUGCUA